GACGAACGCUGGCGGCGUGCUUAACACAUGCAAGUCGAACGGAAAGGCCCUGCUUGCAGGGUACUCGAGUGGCGAACGGGUGAGUAACACGUGGGUAAUCUGCCCUGCACUUCGGGAUAAGCCUGGGAAACUGGGUCUAAUACCGGAUAGGAGCCAUUUUUAGUGUGAUGGUUGGAAAGUUUUUUCGGUGUAGGAUGAGCUCGCGGCCUAUCAGCUUGUUGGUGGGGUAAUGGCCUACCAAGGCGGCGACGGGUAGCCGGCCUGAGAGGGUGGACGGCCACAUUGGGACUGAGAUACGGCCCAGACUCCUACGGGAGGCAGCAGGGGGGAAUAUUGCACAAUGGGCGCAAGCCUGAUGCAGCGACGCCGCGUGGGGGAUGACGGCCUUCGGGUUGUAAACUCCUUUCGCUAGGGACGAAGCUUUUUGUGACGGUACCUAGAGAAGAAGCACCGGCUAACUACGUG
rnacentral:rRNA from 1 species